rnacentral:tRNA from 2 species
GGGCACUUGGCACAGGGGUAGCGCGCACGCUUCGCAUGCGUGAGGUCGAGGGUUCAAAUCCCUCAGUGUCCA